rnacentral:rRNA from 1 species
UACGUAGGGGGCAAGCGUUGUCCGGAUUUAUUGGGCGUAAAGAGCGUGUAGGCGGCCAGAUAAGUCCGCUGUGAAAUCUCGAGGCUCAACUUCGAGCUGUCGGUGGAAACUAUCUGGCUAGAGUCCGGAAGAGGAGAAUGGAAUUCCUGGUGUAGCGGUGAAAUGCGCAGAUAUCAGGAAGAACACCAGUGGCGAAGGCGGCUCACUGGCCCGGUACUGACGCUGAGGUGCGAAAGCGUGGGGAGCAAACAGG